GAUGAACGCUGGCGGCGUGCCUAAUACAUGCAAGUCGAGCGAACGGACGAGAAGCUUGCUUUUCUGAUGUUAGCGGCGGACGGGUGAGUAACACGUGGAUAACCUACCUGUAAGACUGGGAUAACUUCGGGAAACCGGAGCUAAUACCGGAUAAUAUUUUGAACCGCAUGGUUCAAAAGUGAAAGACGGUCUUGCUGUCACUUCUAGAUGGAUCCGCGCUGCAUUAGCUAGUUGGUAAGGUAAAGGCUUACCACGGCAACGAUGCAUAGCCGACCUGAGAGAGUGGUCGCCCACCCUGGAACGGGGACACGGUCCAUACUCCUACGGGAGGCAGCAGUAGGGAAUCUUCCGCAAUGGGCGAAAGCCUUACGGGGCGACGCCGCGUGAGUGAUGAAGGUCUUCGGAUCGUAAAACUCUGUUAUUAGUGAAGAACAUAUGUGUAAGUAACUGUGCACAUCUUGACGGUACCUAAUCAGAAAGCCACGGCUAACUACGUG
rnacentral:rRNA from 1 species